rnacentral:rRNA from 1 species
AUUGAACGCUGGCGGCAUCCCUUACACAUGCAAGUCGAACGGCAGCACGGGUGCUUGCACCUGGUGGCGAGUGGCGAACGGGUGAGUAAUACAUCGGAACAUGUCCUGUAGUGGGGGAUAGCCCGGCGAAAGCCGGAUUAAUACCGCAUACGAUCUACGGAUGAAAGCGGGGGACCUUGGGGCCUCGCGCUAUCGGGUUGGCCGAUGGCUGAUUAGCUAGUUGGUGGGGUAAAGGCCUACCAAGGCGACGAUCAGUAGCUGGUCUGAGAGGACGACCAGCCACACUGGGACUGAGACACGGCCCAGACUCCUACGGGAGGCAGCAGUGGGGAAUUUUGGACAAUGGGCGAAAGCCUGAUCCAGCAAUGCCGCGUGUGUGAAGAAGGCCUUCGGGUUGUAAAGCACUCUUGUCCGGAAAGAAAUCCUUGGCCCUAAUACGGUCGGGGGAUGACGGUACCGGAAGAAUAAGCACCGGCUAACUACGUG